UGAGGAAUCUUGCGCAAUGGGCGAAAGCCUGACGCAGCGACGCCGCGUGGAGGAUGAAGGCCUUCGGGUUGUAAACUUCUGUUAAGUGGGAAGAAAUCCUUAUCUUUAAUAGGGAUAGGGGAUGACGGUACCAUUAGAGAAAGCACUGGCUAAUCUCGUGCCAGCAGCCGCGGUAAUACGAGAGGUGCAAGCGUUAUUCGGAAUCAUUGGGCGUAAAGGGUGCGUAGACGGUGUGUUAAGUCUGUUGUUAAAUUCUCCGGCCUAACCGGAGGCAUGCGGUGGAAACUGGCGCACUAGAGGGUGGAAGAGAGAAGUGGAAUUCUCGGAGUAGCGGUAAAAUGCGUGGAUCUCGAGAGGAACACCAAUGGCGAAGGCAGCUUCUUGGUCCAUACCUGACGUUGAGGCACGAAAGCGUGGGGAGCAAACAGG
rnacentral:rRNA from 1 species